rnacentral:lncRNA from 1 species
GGAGAUGUACAGGAGUGUGGGGGUCUUCAUUAAUGCUUAAACUGUUCGGAGCAAGGGCUAUUCCGCUCACUCCAUUUGCAUCUCUAUUUCCAUAAACCUGUAAGUUCAACACAAAAUGUAGAAACAAUUUGCUAGAGUUCUAAGUAGAAUGGUGAAACUUUUUUACUUGGUAUAUGAAUAUGGAAGGAAAUAAUUGUUCUUGAAGCGCAGUGAAAGCUCUUAGUGAUGUACAUGGAUACCCUCUUAUACAAUUCCAUAUUUUCUUGACGAAUUAGGUUUACCUUCUUAUAUAGUUCCAUGUUUUCUUGAUGGAUGAGGUUUCCCUGCAAGGAAAAAAGUUAAUUUAGCUUCUUUAAAAGUUAUCCUUUUUAGAACAAAUUGAAAACAAAAGUCACUGCAUUUUAUGUUGAUUGACCUUUCGGUUUAGUUCUUGUAUCUCAUCAAUCAGAAUUUCAUCCUGUAGAAAUGAGAGGUUGAGUUAGUUCUUCUUUAGUUCAUAUAAGAUAGUGCACAUUUGAUGGAUCUGGAAGUUUCGUACCUUUCUCACACGGACACCACGGAGACUCAUUUCCAGUUGGUUCUCCAAGUUCUGUAAAUCUUUGACGCUCAGACCAGAAAGCUCUUCACCCAUCAUUUGUCUAUAGUGCAGAAAUAAACUGUUAACAAACACGCGACUUCAACAGAAAAGUUGAUACCUGACUGACUAUGAUUUAGAUAUACAUCCAUUUCUAACAACUGUUGCUUCUCGCUUCUUGGGGGGGGGGGGGGGUUGAUGUUAAACAGCUCGAGGGUUUGGGCUUUAGCAGAAAUCUAUAACACCAUUUGAGAUGGGCUUAUUAUUGGAUUUUCACUCCCGACAUUAAGUGGUUUCUGAGUUUAUCUAGUGUAAACACCUCUACAGAAACCUUCAGUAAAUUGCAUGAUUCACUGCAGUAUAUUUUGCAAAAUGUAGUAUGCUUUAGAAGUCCAUGCUAAUACUUCUAAUCAUGAGAGAUAAGAGAUACUGGGUGCUGCUUGAUACUUUAACGCCUUGAUGUGAGGGAUGAUAGUAAGACAUUGUAAGGAUUAUGCUCACGGUCUUGAAUGUCUCAUCAUUUUGAUUGGAAUACCAGUAACCUCAAAUAAUCUCUGAAUGUCCUUUCUGUUAGCACUUACAGAUAUAACCUUCUUAUGGAGGAUCUAGAGUGGAUAUCUCUGUUUCAUCUGCUAUUUUGAAAACUGAAAAUGCUACCAGCUAUCAAGUGGCACUUCCUAGCAAGGUGGCUGAUAGUUUAACCCUUAAUUUCUUGCAUAGCAAAAGCUUUUUUAGGGAAAUUGGUGGUUAACCUAGGGAUUGCCUAAAGCAAUAAAAAACAGAAAUGAGAAAAAGGAACGAGACAAGUUAACCUUUUUAACAAUAAAAAAACAAGUCGACUAUUUCAUUUCCGUAACUAUAAACUAAAUGACCUUAUCAAAAAAAAAAACUAUAAACUAAAUGAAAUGACAACAAACAUUUAGAAAAUGACAACAAACAUUUAGAAUUAGUCAACUAUUAACUAAUUCAAAUGAAAACUUGACUUCUGGGCUCCAAAAUGAUGAAGUAAGUUGAAAUGGAAAGGUCUUCAACAUAUAAUUUAGGAGGCAAAGUACUAAUAGAACUUUAGGAUUGAAAGAUAGAUAGAAAUGAGAGGAAAGAAGAGAGUACAACAACAACAACAUACCCAGUGUAGUCUCACAAGUGGGGUCUAGGGGGUUGUGUGUACGCAGACCUUACCCUUACUCUUAAGAAGACAAGAGGCUGUUUCUGGUAGACCGUCGGCUCAGGAAAGAUAAAGGGAAGGGGCAAUAACAAGAAAACCAAUCGGAAAGCCGAAGCAAAAAUACAAAACUAACACUAGGUAAUGCAAUCAGAAAACCGAAGUGAAGGCAACAACAAGUAAUAACAAAAGUCUAGGAAGACGAAAAUACACGAAAGACGCUAAGUGAUGUACUAGAGCUACUGUAACAAACAAGGACAUCGCUCGACUACCUAACCUUUUACCUUUAUUCUCAACCUCCACACCUUCCUAUCCAUGGUCAUGUCAUCAGUAAGCUGGAGCAAUGUCAUAUCUUGCCUAAUCACCUCUUCCCAUUACUUCUUUGGCCUGCCUCUACCUCUCCGUUGGCUCUCUAAGGCCAACCUCUCACACCUCCUCACCGGUGCAUCUGUGCCUCUCCUCUUCACAUGCCUGAACCAUCUAAGUCUUGCCUCCCGCAUCUUGUACUCCAUAGGGCGCAUCUUGUACUCCAUAGGGGCCACGCCCACCUUGUCCUGGAUAACUUCAUUUUUAAUUUUAUCUAACCUGGUAUGCCCGCACAUCCAUCUCGACAUUCUCAUUUUAGUCACCUUUAUCUUUUGGACAUGAGAGUUCUUGACUGGCCAACACUCCACCCCAUACAACAUAAUCGGUCUGACCACCGCUCUAUAGAACUUACCUUUAAGUCUUGGUGGCACAUUCUUAUCAUAUAAAACACCGGAAGCGAGCCUCCAUUUCAUCUAUCCCGCCCCAAUACAAUGUGUGACAUCCUUGUCGAUCUCCCCAUUCCCUUGUAUAACUGACCCAUGGUACUUGAAACUUUCUUUCCUAGGGAUGACUUGUGAAUCAAGCCUCACGCCUUGGCCCACUACCUGUGUCGCACCACUGAACUUACACUCCAAGUAUUCUGUUUUGGUCCUGCUCAACUCGAAACCUUUAGAUUCCAGGGUCUGCCUCCAAACCUCUAACCUCUUGUUUACAUCACCUCGCGUCUCGUCAAUCAGUACAAUAUCAUCUGCAAAUAACAUGCAUCACAUCACCUCCCUUUGAAUGUGGCGCGUCAGUGCGUCGAUCGCCAGGUUAAAUAGAAAUGGGCUGAGGGCUUACCCCUGGUGCAACCCCAUCACAACUGGGAAGUGUUUCGAGUCCCCUCCCAGUGUCCUCACACGAGUCUUAGCUCCAUCAUGCAUGUCCUUAAUAGCCCUAAUGUAUGCAACUGGAACCCCUCUAGUCUCCAAACAUCUCCACAGAACCUCCCUCGACACUUUAUCGUAAGGCUUCUCUAAGUCGAUGAACACUAUAUGUAAAUCAGAGGAAAGAAGAGUAGGUAAUUUAAUUUUUUUGUUUGCUCGGAAUGGGUUUUUAGGAAUAGGAAGGGAGGAGGGAAGAGGGAAUUAAGUUCGUUAACACAAUGUUCUGUCCAAAAGUGGGUGAAACCAAGAAAAACAAGACAUGCUGUAGUGAAACUUUUGUAGCAUUAAAAGAAAACUCAGGAUUAUUAACAAAAUAACUAUUAAGGGAAUUAGUGUCAAUUGAUACACAUUCCUUUUAUAUUUCCUUACUCCAUCACAGGAAAGUAACAAUCUGCUCUCCCUUUCUUUUUCUCUACAUCAUCUCCAUUCUUCUCUUUUCCCUUUUCUCAAUUCAAAAGAUCAGUGUUAAAUAGUUUAAGUAGAGUAAUGGAGGAAAUAAUUCAUUUAACCUAGUUACUUUGUUGAUGAAUUCAAUAAUAUACUGAUAUUAUGGGCAGAUUCCCAUAUGUAUCCAAAUCCCUGCAAAGAGCAUUCGGUCAUCAAUACUGAUUGAGACACCAUACAUUAUCUAAAAACAGUACGUCCCUUAUGUAAAUACUGCUUAUUUGCACAUGAAGCACAAAGUGACAGGGAUUGUCCAUUUUCCUCUCAAAUUCUUUGUUGUUAGGAUAGCUCCUUGUGUUACUAUCGGUUUAAAAGCACGCUUCCCAAAUGCUGUAGGGAUCCAUAUUGAAGAGUGAGGGAAGUUACCUUUUCUUUAGCAGUCCAUUAUAAAAUGAUUUCACUAUGAACAUAACAUCUUUCUGGCCUUUCCUGUUUCCAGCUACCUUUGUCCAUAAAUGAUAUUUUUGCUUGUACGGUAAUGUAAGCAAACUAUUAAGCUGUUUCAUCGUCCAAUCCUUCACUCAAAUGUAGUUUCUAUAGAAUUUCCUCAUUCUUUAUAAUUGGGACGAGUGUUAAUCUCUGCUGGCUGAAAGUAUUGAAUAUGAUCAGAAAACUUAACAUAAAAGAAUAUGACUACAUUGUCUCUAUUUCCAGAAAUUGAUUCUGGUUUCAUUACCUCCCUUCUAAUUUGACACAUCCAUAGAAUCUCUCCACAUUUUCACCAUAUCCUCCAUAGAGUUACUCCAUAUAGCAUGGAUAAUCUGAUUGGUCCUAAUUAUCCCACUUGAUCUACAUACUUUUUAACUAUGAUCGCUCUCCACAAUGGUUGAUUUCCAUGCGAAACCCCCAAGUCAACUUCCCUAGUUGAGUUCUAUGAACAUUCCAUCUCCCUAUCGUGUCCCAUAAUAGAUUCGUUUACACUUUUUAACCUUUUGCCAUGAUUCCUGGUACAUAGUAAGUUGACAGAUUCGAAAAAUUACUCUUUGAUAAUGGUCUCUCUCUCCCUUUUAAGUAAGUAUUACUUCUACCGUCCUUUAGUUUCUUUUUGGUUCUCAACAUUCUCUUUCAUAUUGCAGUCUUUGUAAAUCGUACUGGUAUAGUCAAUAUGGAUACAUAGUAAGUUGGCAGAUUAAGCAAAUUUCUCUUGAUCGCUGUGUCUAUCUCACUUUUUCAAGAAGUAUUUCUUCUACCAGCCUGUUAGUCUCUUUUUGACUCUCUCGACCAUCAGUUUUUUUUCUUUGACAAUCCUUGAAAGUCGCACCCAGCGGUAGUAUUGAUAAGUCAUCUUAUGAUGGGACCCAUACUGCAACUAUGGAUCUCCACCAGCUAUUUAAUGCUCUUCGCUUCAUCAAUCUUAGAGUUCCCUGAGACCACAAUAGUAGAGCUGAUUUGCCUCGGUAAUAACACAAAAUGUCAUCUGCAUAUAGUAAGAUAUAGUAGAUAAUACACUUGUAAACUAUCUUUCCUUCCCUACAAGCUGUGAAGCCCCAUAAAUAACCCCUGUCCUUAUUCUCCAUCUUCUUGUUGAAUAUUUCAAUGAUCAGUAUGAACAAUGUCAGGUGUAGGGUUUUUAAAGUCUUGCUUAAGGCGCAGUUAAGUCUUGAAGCUCAGUGAAAUCCAAUUUGUGGGAUUCACCUCCCAUGGUUGGCACUUUAGUGUAGGUACUAUAAUAUGUGCUUCUUCACCUAUGAGCUCCAUCUUUAAGAGCAUUGCACUAGACAAUAAAUAGAGUUGACAAAGUUAUAUUAAUUGUUAAGAAAGCCUUAUGAAUGAACUUUUAGCGAUUAGCAAUAAGAAAUUAGAAGCUGCACCAAGGGUGUGGCCUAGUGGUCAAUGAAGUGGGUUGAACACCAUGAGUUCUCUGGUUCAAUUCCCAACAGAGACAAAACAUUAGGUGAUUUCUUCCCAUCUGUUCUAGCCUUGGUGGACAGAGUUACCUGGUAUCUGUUGCUGGUGGGAGGUGGCAGGUAUCCCGUGGAAUUAGUCGAGGUGCACGCAAGCUGGCCCGGACACCACGAUUAUAAAAAAAAAGCAAUAAGAAAUUAGAAGUUCAAUAUAAGAAAAUUAGCCAUUAAAAACAUAAAACUAUGUUUUUCAUUUAAAUAAGAAGUUUAAAAUGGUUUCUGAGCUUACUUAACAUGACUUUUACUUCAUAUAUACAACCUAAUUCCAUUCUUUCGUACAAAGAACUAAUUUUUUUUUUUGUAGUUACAUUUACUUGCUUUACAUUUUUUUAUUAGCGCUUUUGUACGUUAAAACCCAUACUUCGAUUGCACUUUAAUCUUAAAGCCCAACGAACUUUAGCACUUUUUGCUUUUGACUACUUUGGUAAGGUGAUCACCUUGUCAUAGACCUCUUGAGCUUCCAAAGAAACCUUUGGGAUUCCGUUUACUAGACUGAGAACUUGAUAGUGGGCAUCAGAAAGUGGAUCAUUGUUUUCAUCUCUCCCAUCCCUUAUUCUCCAUAACGAGGUCCAGAAGUCAUGCUUUUUAUGGAUUACUUUACACAGUACUCGUGUCUCUCUACUCUUCCGUUCUAGCUCAGUCACUAUAUAAGCUCCUUGUAUAACUUAAAUAGCAGACAAAAUAGAUUUAAGGGCCCAAAUAAUAAAACAAUUCUAACAACGAAAAUUUCCACUUGUGAAACAAUUUGACUCCUAUGAUGUAGGAACUCAAUGAAAAUUACUGGGGUACUUUCUUCUGAAAUAAUUUUGCUCAAACAUCUCAAAAGCUAUCGUGGACUAACAUGAGCUCAAUUUAAGAAAAUACCUGAAUUGCUUAAUACACAAAAAUAUCCUUAUUUUUAUUCUAUAGGUCAUUGAACAAGUUAUUAGCAGAGAGAAGAAAUAUAUGUGAUAAAGAACAAGAAAGUUUACCGAUGAUUCUCUUGCAAGUUUUGUAGUUGUUGCCUCAGCACUGCCGCUUCCCUUUGCCAAAACUGCUAAGAAGAAAAAAUAUUUCUUACAUUUUGGAUUAUCAAGAACAAGAACAACAUGCCCAGUGUGAUCCCACAUGUGGGUUUUGGAGAAUGUAUGGUGUACGCAGACCUUACCCCUACCUUGUGUGAGGUAGAGAGGUUGUUUUCAAUACACCCUUGGCUCAAGAAAAGAAUUUUCAAAAUAGGUUUAAAAAAUACAAGAGUAAAAAAGUUAUGAUGAAAAUACUGAAACAAAGAAAAUUAUUGCCAGCAAAAUAGUAAAGAUAAUCGAAAUAAAAGAAACACCAGUUGUAUAAAAUUGAGGAAUAAAAUAAUAAUACUAGGAUAAUAAUACUAAUACUGAUAAAGAGAAGAGGGUGCUCUAAACUAGAACCACUGCUCUCCCGCAAAAAAAGAGAGAAAUCGCUUGACUACCUGCUAAUCUUCUACUCUAAUCCGCGGCCUCCAAGCUCUCCUAUCUAGGGUUAUGUCUUCGGUGGGCUGAAGAUGUGUCAUGUCCUGUCUAAUCAUCUCUCCCCAGUUCUUCCUCGGUCUACCUCUACCUCUCCUAAGACCUAUCAUUGCCAACCUUUCGCACCUCCGCAUUAGGGCAUCUGUGUUCCUCCUAUUCACAUGCCCGAACCAUCUCAACCUCGCUUUAAGGAUCUUGUCCAUCAUGAGGGCCACUCUUACCUUGUCCCACAUAUCUUCUUUCCUAAUCUUAUCUUAUGCUCACACAUCCUUCUAAGCAUCUUCAUUUCCGCUUCUUGCAUUUUCUGAACGUGUGAGUUCUUGACUAGUCAACACUCUGCUCCGCAUUUUGGAUUAUCAUAGGAGACAUUAAUGGAUAUCGCUGCAUGCUUUGAAAACUAGGUGCAAUAUCAAUAGUAAACAAAGCUUAGAUGUAAUGGGUUCUAUUUAGAUUAAUGUAUAGCCGUUCCCUUCCUUGCGGUCCAAGAAAUAGAUCCAUGUAUAACCUCAAGAUUGUGUAUUUUAAUUUAUUAGCCCUUUUAAAUUAGGGGGAAAAACAAAAUGAGCUAGGGUUACUUUCUUGAGGUUGCAUCCUGUCAAUGAUGAAAAAAGAAGGAAAAAUGAAAUACACUAGCUUAUGGUUCCGCUCCCCUCUAUUUCACUAGCUAACAUAAAUAAAAAUAUCAUUUCCUUUGUGUUAUCCCAAGGAUUGGAUCUGGUUAAGAAUCGCUGUAUACUCCUUAUGAAUGUCACUUCUCUUUUAUAAGAUUAAAAGGGAAAAGGAAGAACUUGAAUUCUUUUGAUUUUAGUUUUAAAUGUGGAGACACUUCUUGUGGUUAAUUUUUUUUCAAGAAGUAAAAAUUUUCAAAAAGAAGAAUCUGGUAUAAAUUAGACAAAUUCAAAAUAAUAGAUGCAUCAAAUAUGAUUAGAGGACGCAGCAUAUGAAACCUUACUGAUCUACUUUGGCUUAGAGACAACUUUAUCUUAAAAAAGACUUUGUAGACAUGCUGUCAAUUCUUGUUUCUUGAUUGCCUCAUUGAUAGGUUUCUCCUCUUUCUCUUACAUUGAUGAAAUGGUAGUGUCGUUUUUAAUAACUAAAACUUGAACUUUUUUCUUUUAAGCUAGUUCAGAUUAGGAUUUUGGAAGUUCUCUGGUUCAGGCGCAAAGUUCGACAUUUGGGAAUUGAAGGGGAUUCGAGUCUCAAACAUUAGUAGAUAACAUUAGAGAGUCAAAAAUACACUGACAAAGAGAACAUUGUUGCUGUGUCUGUGAAUCAGCUGCUUUCCAGAGUGACUCUUUGACCGUUUUCUUCUGUAUCUCCUCACAUUGAUGAAAAUGGGUGUAGAAGAGGAUUUCUACUUUUGGUACAAAGGUCGACAUGUAGGAAUAGAAGAGGAUUUGAGUCUUAACAUGACUAGGACACAUCAAGAUGUUGACCAUGCAACCAAGCCAGGUUGAAUUCAAUUUUUGUCAUUUUCGUGGAAGACAUAUUGUAGAUUUAGCUACAAGACUUCUUCUGCAUAGCACUAACAAUUUGAUGCAUCUCUUAGCAUGGACCCUAUUAUUGACUGGUUGCCCUGAUUAAUACAAUGCCUUGAUAUGGAUUUGCUGUAGAGUGGCUUGAGUGAUGUUAAUUAACAGCUCCUAUAUUUUGUGGUAAAUUACUCCUACAAACUUGUGAAGAAUUCUUCAAACCAAUGGGUUUGAAUGACAUUUCAUAGGGGAUUCAAAGUUUUGAAGUGAAAGAGAUAGCCACAAGGCAUCUUUUUUAUAUUUGUUGCUUCCUACCUUCAAAAGUUUUGCUCCACAAUAUGCCAUCAGCGAUAGAAAUGUAAGUUAUAGUUGUUUUGGUAGCCUUGAAGUUGAUGGCCAUUCUGGUGUGUGGUACUGCAUGGAGGAUGCAAAUUCAACGUUCUGCUUCGUAAAUGAGUUCUUACAGUUGCCGCAUAGUUACUCUAUGCUAUACUAUCAUAUGUUAUUCAAACCUCGGUCCUAAUUGUGCUAUAAUUUGUUUGUAACUUCCUUCUAUGCUUUGCACCAUAUGUGGGAUUUUUACAAUUGGAUCUAGCUUAAUUGACUGAGAAUAAUCCUACUGAAUAGAUGAAAUAGGACUCCACCAUCUAAUAGGUCCACAAGACUGAAUUUCCCCUCUUUGUAUACAGUUUUUAGUUCAUAGGAAGAGUUUGUUUCUUCAUUUACCAUCUCCUCUUGUACCUUUUAUUAUCAAAGUGAAAUAUGUGAAAGAAGAAUAAAAGAUUUGAUGCCUAAUGUUAUUGAUGGCUUUUUGGUAUAGGUUACAACAACAACAAUUACCCUGUAAAACAACAAUUGAUGGUGUACCUUACCCCUACCCAGGGGAGUAGAGAGGCUGUUUCUGAUAUACCCUCACCAGAAAAUAGAUGAAAAGCAAAAACAAUAAUCAGUAAAUAAGGCCCGGAAUUAUGAAAAACGGAAGAAUAGUGUGAACACAACAUUAACCGCUAGCCGUCUAAGACAAAACUCUAUCAGACUAGCCUCACACCUGUUACGGAGUAGAAAAAUGCUUGACUACCCCCUAACCUACAAUCCUAAUGCUCGACAUCAAGGGCCAUGUCCUCGAAAAUCUGAAGCUACGCCAUAUCCUGCCUGAUCACCUCUCCCUAAUACUUCUUAGACUGCCCUCUACCUCUUCUCGUACUCGUCAAAGCCAACUGCUCACUCCUUACCGUGGCAUCUAGGCUUCUCCUCCGCACGUGCCCGAACCAUCUGAGCCUCGCUUCCCGCAUCUUGUCAUCCAUAGGAGCCACACCCACCUUCUCCCGAAUAUCUUCAUUCCUAAUUUUAUCGAUCCUAGUGGACCCGCAUAUCCACCUCAACAUCCUCAUUUCUGCUAUUUUCAUCUGCUGGAUAUGUGAGUUCUUAACUGGCCAACACUCUGCCCCAUACAACAUGGGCGGUCUAACCACCGCUCUAUAAAACUUGCCUUUGAGUAUCGGUGGCACUUUCUUGUCACGCAGGACUUUAGAAGCUAACCUCCAUUUCAUCCAUCCAACCAAUAUACGGUGUGUGACAUCCUCGUCGAUCUCCCCAUCCCGCUAGAUAACCGACCCAAGAUACUUGAAACUGCCUCUUUUAGGAAUGACCUGCGAUUCAAGCCUCACGUCCAUGCCCGAUUCCCUCAACUCGGCGCUGAACUUGCACUUCAGGUAUUUUGUCUUAGUCCUGCUCAACUUGAAACCCUUAGACUCUAGGGCCUGUCUCCAAACCUCCAGCCUCUCGUUAACGCCUCACGUCUCAUCAAUUAGAACUAUGUCGUCAGCAAAUAACAUACACCAUGACACCUCCCCUUGAAUAUGAUGUGUCAGUGCGUUCAUCACCAGGGCAAAUAAGAACAGGCUAAGCGCAGAUCCUUGAUGUAACCCGAUAACAACCGAAAAAUGCUUUGAGUCAUCUCCCACUGUCCUAACCAGAGUCUUAGCUCCAUCAUACAUGUCUUUAAUCGCCCUAAUGUAAGCAACCGGCACACCUUUUGCCUCCAGGCAUCUCUAAUGAACCUCCCUACGGACCUUGUCAUACACUUUCUUCAGGUCAAUAAACAUCAUGUGUAGAUCCUUCUUCCUAUCCCUGAACUGUUCCACUAACCUCUUAUAUCUUCCGUAGUUGAACGACCCGGCAUGAACCCAAACUGGUUGUCAGAUAUAGACACCGUCCUCAUCACCCUNNNNNNCNNNNNNNNNNNNNUCCUUUGUUCUUGUACAACGGUACCAUCGUACUCCACCUCCACUCAUCCGGCAUCCUUUUCGUCCUGAAAAUAACAUUAAACAGUCCAGUCAGCCACUCCAAGCCUGCUCUACCCACACACCUCCAAAAUUCUACCUGAAUUUUGUUUGGCCCGGUUGCUCUUCCCCUACUCAUCUUACGUAUAGCCCCCACAACCUCCUCAACCUUAAUGCGCCUAUAGUACCUAAAGUCUCGGUGACUCUCAAAAUGCCCCAAUUCACCUAGCACAAUAUCCCGGUCCCCCUCUUCAUUCAGAAGUUUAUGAAAGUAAGUCUGUCAUCUCCGCUUAAUCUGAGCCUCUCCCAUCAAUACUCUACCGUCAUCGUCUUUGAUGUACCUCACUUGGUCCAGAUCUUGAGCCUUCCUCUCUCUCCCCUUGCCCAGCCGGAAUAACUUCUUAUCCCCACCUUUGUCUCCCAAUUCCUCGUAUAGACGCCCAAACGCUAUAGUCUUAGCCUCUGUGACCACCAAUUUCUCCUCCUUCCUAGCUACCUUAUACCUCUCCAUGUUCGCUUCUCUCUCCUCCUCUCCUGUGCUCCCUACUAACUUCAGGUACGCCGCCUUCUUCGCUUCCACUUUACCUUGGAUCACUCCAUUCCACCACUAGUCGCAUUUGUGCCCGCCAGAGUAACCCUUCGAGACCCAUAACACCUCUCUUGCCACCUCCCUUGUACAGUUCGCCGUCAUCGUCGACAUAGCGCUCGCGUCCCACUACUCCUCUAGGCUCGCAUAGACGAUAACCUCUCUUCCAACUCCUGAGGUUUAUCCUUAGUCAAGGCUCCCCACCUGAUCAUCGUUUAUUGCUAGUAUUGGUUAUGUUGAGGCCGACCUAGACCAACACAAAGUAAUGGUACUCAUUCUUCGUCUAUGCAUAUGUACGUUGAAGAUUUAAUCUAAUCUUAAAUAUUAAAAACUUGUUAUUUUAUUUUUCCAGCUACAUUUUUAUUAGAAAACUUACAAAAGUAAGACUCUUGAUUUUGUGUUCUAGUAUCAUUUCAUUCUGACGCUCUUGAGAUACCUCAUGGAGUUUAUUCUCCUCCUUGCUUCUGAAGAUGAGUUGAACACAAGCCUAUAACAUGAUCUAGGUUUUCAUGGUUUUGGACUUCAGCUUUGGAACUUCUAUUUAUUUUCAUAAUUGAGAUUUGGUAGACUUAUGGUAAGUGAGAGGAGUUGAAAGCAGUGGCGGAUCCAGAAUUUUCAUCAAGGGGUGUCAUAAUAUAAAUAAUUAGAUAUAUCGAAAAGUGAAGGAGAGUCAACGUAUAGUAAAUAUACAUAAAAUAAAAAAAGUUAUCUAGCAAAAUAGUGUAAUUUUCCGGCGAAUGGGUGUCGCUUGACAUCCCUUGCUUCAAUGUGGCUCCGCCACUGGUUGAAAGUUAUUUAAAAUGCUAAGAGGACCGUGUUAAGGUGGCAUUUGACUUAUUAGGGGGAGGAAAAUUGGAAAACUAUUCUGCAUGUCUUUAGUAUUUUGGCUUGAACAUGAUGUAAUACUGUUGGAUUUAUUAUCUCCUGUAUUUCAAUGUUGUAUUUCUGGGGAUUCUGCUGAACUUAUCCCAUGCUAUUAUUCAUAGAGUUAAGACUGUAAUUUAUCUGCAAUAGAGUUAAAGCACAGGGAUAGACAAGUAUGUGAUCAACACUUUGUUGAUAUCUAUGUAGAAUUUACAUUCUUCAUUUUAUACCAGAAAGAGAUAUUUUACAUGCUUCAAAUUAUCUUUGUCUUGUUUCCCAACUUGCAAUGAAGCUAAUGGUAGACGACCGCUCCUAUAUGUUGAUGGUGGGAUUAUGUGGAGAGAGGCUACAUCUCAUCCCACCCAUGUUAUAAUAGUUGGUAGUGCUUGAUAACGUGAAGUUUAGCAUUAGCACUUUUGACAAAAGGUAAGCAAAAGGUUAUGUGAUAAGUGAAGAGCUUAUCUACAUACGGAAAGAAAUCAUCUAGAGUAGGAUUGAACAGAGAUAUUGGGUCUCUUUGAGGUGGCAAAACUGAACCAUGGAUACCAUUGCCCCACUCUAUGGUAACCGAGGCUUCUAGUUGAGGUUUCAUGACAUUUAGGCAACUAUUAGUGGCUUUUGUUAAGAAUAAUACAUAAGUUAGUGUCGUUUAGAUGCAUGUUGGGGAGGAAGGAUAUCUGUCAGAUUAUUAUUUAGGCUCUUUAGUUGUUGGUCAUAUUCAGUUUGCUUCAUUUUUGUAGAGUGAUAGUAUGGCAUGUGAUGAAAAUUGGUUUGUAGAAUGGAUUCCUUCUGGUCAGAGGUAACUAUAUAGAGUCUAACCACAUCUAAGGCGGAAGGUUUAUCUGGUUAUAGUUCUUCAAUGUUUUAGCCAUAUCCUUGGUUCUUAUGUUGCUGUAUUUGCAUAAUAUGUAUUGCUUAGGUUUAGGGGUGGCAAAUAGGUGGGUCGGAUCGGAUAUGAGCAGGUCGAAAAUGGGAAUGCAAAAAUGGAUAAAUUAUCCGACCUAACCCAUAUUUAAUACGGAUAGAAAAUGGGUUAACCGNNNNNNNNNNNNNNNNNNUAAACUCAUUAGUUAUCUAUUGGUUAUACAUUAGUUAUUCAUUUUCUAAGUGGAUAAUAUGAUUUUUAUCCAUAUUUGACCCGUUUUUAAAAAAUUCAUUAUCCAAUCCAUUUUUUUAGUGAAUAAUAUGGAUGGAUAACUGUUUUUUAAUCCAUUACCGCUACUUAGGUUCAUGACAUAUGGGCAACAUUUUUUUCUUGUGCAGUAAGAAAUUAGCCGUGCCCCAGAUGGAGAUUAUAACACAGCUCUAGAUGAGAUCUUCUGUUCUUGGAUUUUGUGUACCGUAGGAAGUGUGUGCUAUGAGCAUGAGUGCAAUGUCAUGAUGGCAGUAUUAACCCCUCAGCAGAAUGCUUAAUUAUGCCUUAAAUUAUGUUGACCUAUGCAGUCUUAUUAUUAAAAGGAGUCAAGUUCUGCUUCCGUGAUCAAUCUUACGAGAAAUUACCUUCCAAUACCAUAUCCAAAGUUCCUUGCUGCACCUGAACUGAUAUGGCUCUCUGUCAGAUGAAAAUCCCCUGAAUGGUAGACUAAUCUACACUGCUUCAGUUUCACAGUAGUAUCAGGGUGUGUGAUUUCUGAACACAGGAAGGCCCAAUGUUUCUCCUGUUUCACUUCCCAUCACAUUUCGUUUACCUAUAUGCCUGAACUGCAUAAUUCCUGUAAUACUGAUAUGUGAAGAACGAACUAUUUUUUAAUGGGAAUUUUUAUUCCUUUGCAGCAUCUUGAAGACAUGAAGCAUAGCGUCUGACUUCUGUUUUUCCCUUCUGCAAUUGCAAAGAAGGAUUAGAGAUUGAUCUCCAAAUACUGAACAGAUGACAUGACAAAGACAUGUUAUAGAGUUGGAUACCUUGAGUGAAGCAGUGGUACCUAGAACCUAGUGCUAUCCAUGAAUGUCAUUAUCUGCUUAAUAACGACAAGAGGGACUGAGUAGAAGUAAGAAGAUAAGGUUCAGAUUAACACCAACUGUGUCAUCUUGGUAGAAAGUUUAGGACCGGUAUCCACUUCUCUUUUUUCAAAAAAGGUUUGACUCGUAUACUCAGUAGUACCACAUUCAAGUCAGACAAGUUAGGAGAUGAGUGUGCCCUAGCUGACCAUUAUCAAGAAAUGGACUUCACGGUAAGGAAAUCAUUACUCCCUCUACCACGAAUUGAAUUUCCUUGUUGAGUUGGCAUGACUCAGAUGAUGAAAAUUCUGAAGAUUUUGUUUGAGAUUUUGUGGAAACUGGUUAGAAGGGGGCCUGGGGCCUGGGGGGAUAAGCAAUCUUUGAAGUCUGUCAUACUAGAAGUUUUCCCACAAUAAAAGAACCUUUACACUGUAAAAGUAAUUUCAAAGAUGGCCAAACUUUCCUGUACAACAGAAUUUGACAGAUUGCUAAAUCCUUGAAGUCGAUUUAUUAAUGGUCAUCAUCAGUGAAAAGGUAGCAUGUUGCUUUUAUUCUAAUCAUGUGGCCUGUCAGUACCCUCAAGAACAUGAAAACCCUAAUUAUUGUUGUUUUAAUCUAGCAGGAAUCAGCCUGUGUCCAUGUAGAAUAUUUUUUCACAUUAAUAUGAAGACUGUAGUGGUUAGGUGGAAUCUGUUUAGCUGAAGAUGUUCUUGUUGAUAUGAUGCAAAUCGAAAUAAUUGUGAACUAUAAGACAGUUCUAUCCCUAGCUAUGCUUUGAUUGCUAGACAAAUGGGAGUCAUAGUCCCUGAUCUAUUCUUUUAUGUGACCCCUCUCCAGUUAAAUCCUGAAUAGCUGAAGUUGCAGUACGUUCAUACAAUAGGUAGCUUUUCAUGCUGCAUCAUAAUAAUGGAAUACUUAGUUCCUGUUCUCUGUCAAUGUGUUGGAUUGCCCCUGGCUGAUCGUGUCUUUUAUAAAACACAUUGGAGAAAUCUGCUCUAGUCUUGUAAAAUAUCUUCCUUCCGUUUAAACUAUCUGUCUUCAAACUUUAGCCUUCAGUCCAGCAUCUUCAACGGUACAGCUGACUGUAACUAUGAGAAUCUGCAUGCUUCUUUCUUGCAGCAUUUUGUUUGUUUUUUGCUUUUGCCCCUUUAUCCUGCUCUCCAUCUCCUAAUUCUAAUUAAUUUGCUAAAACUUGCGGAUAGGUGCUAAUAUCUUUUAAAUCCUUUUCACAAAGAGGUGUAAACAACAAUGCCCCUCAGGGUUUUGUUCUAGUGGUAAGAGCACAAUCGAUGAUGUGUGGAUUAGGCACAGGCCACAGGUUCGAAUCUUGCCUCAGACAAAGCCAGAUAUUUAAGUGGAGAUGGGUAGAGCGGCGGGCCCAUCAUUCACCCAGUUUCGAACCCUUUGGCCACUGGGAUCUCUCGGUAGUCAGGAAAAAGUGUUAACGACAAUACACCACAAUUUAUGCAUGUUGUGAAAAGAGGAAAGAGGAGAGAAACUCUUACUGAACUUCUCUUGUUAGAAAAGCUCUCGUGUCUUACUGAACUUUUUUGGGUUAACAUAUAUGAGGGCUCUUUUUUAAUGGACUGAAGAAUCCUAAUUAUUGGGGUUUUCAAUUAUGACAUAAUAGUUUAUAGUUCUCUGGUCAAUGGCAGAACAUUAGGAGUAAUUCUCACUAAGAUCAUUUUGACACACUUUUAGACUUAUAGACUCCUUGUAUCUUGGAUAGGAGUUGAGCAAAAACUUUAGUACAGGUUCAACUCCUGAUUGUUGACGGAACAGUGUUCAUCACCGAAAGGUCGUAUUCUUUCUCACAGACUGUUAUCGACACAGCCAAAGAAAUGUGCCUUGCAGCACAUGGGAAAAAUCGUCUUAAUUUAGCGGAAAGAGAUUUUGGUGACACAAAUCUCUAUUAAAUCAUGUAAGCUUGAAUUAAAAUUGAAGGGUAACAAGAAAUUAUUGGGGUAAUUGCUGGCAAAGCCAGAGAAAAGUGACCGGAAGAGACGAUGCCGUCAGGAUGGUUGCCUGAAAGAGAUCAGCGUGGUGCCUCAAAUGUUCUCUGGAAAGAAGUGUGGAGCCUGAAAAGGCACAAUGCUGCCUAAAUGAUGGCUGGAAACAAGAAUAGUGCUGCCUAGAAGGGUUAUCAGAAAGAGGCAAGAGUAGUACUUAGAUUUCCACAAAUAUCGUAGAAGCUUAAUACGCCUAAUACUACAUGGAAGGAGAGAGACGAAGAGAAACUCUUGUUGGAACUGGUUGAUAACAUCAAGAGUGCUCCUUGUAGAAAAGUUUUGAACUAUAUAUGAGAUAAGGAAGUUUCAUGUUCCUAAGGUUUCCUAUUUAUUACAUGAUAUAUAAUCACUAAGGAUAUUUUCCAUAUUAUUCUUAUUGAUCUUGUAACUUUCAUUGGUAAUAUAAUCAUUACCAAAUUCUCUGCUAUUUAAUUAUUCUGUUAACUUUGAACAUCUUUUUUUUUCUUAUUAUAGUGGUGUCCGGGUCAAUUUGCUCGCACCUUGAGUAUCCCACCGAAAAGCCUGCGGUACACAUGGCGCGAAAUCAGCUCACCAUGGUAGAGCAGAUAGGCUUAUACCGAGUGUUAUAGCUUAGCUUUGAACCUGAGAUCUCAGGUUGUUACUCAUGUGUCUCAACUGCUCAACCAUUUCCUUUUUCAACGACAUGAAAUGGCUAUGAUAGAAACCUUAGUAUGCAUAUUUUUCUUUGACUAGUUGACUGCAAAUUAACCAGUGAAACUUACCCUAACCUCAGAAGUUGGAGUUGCCAGUUGGUGAUUCUCCUCCUUUGUUUUGUUGUAUCUUUCAAUCACCGACUUCAUGCUGUCAAAGUAAAUAUAUUCAGAAUUGUCUACGUUGUACUGAUUGAGCAAAAAUUUUGGAUGUAUCACAAAGUUGUUCUGUUUGUUUCUAGUCUAGCCUCUACAUACAUAAUAGUUAAAUUGUGUGGACUUCCCUUGUCAAAAAAAAUUGUGUCGUCUCCAUACUAGGUCAUUGUAAUUAAAUACUUUUUUAUCUAAUAAGAAAGGACUCGAAUAAAACAGGGCAGAAAACAUCUUUUGCAGCCUCUUAUUAACACGAUGGCUGCAGUUCUGGUAUUUUAUUUUCUCUCUUUGGUUUUCAGUUGAAUGGAGUCGAGAGUGAUGGCACGCAAAACCUUUACAAAGUGAAUGGUACUGUCUUGAAGGUAGGUCUCUGAAGUUUGUUUGGCUCCUUUUACUCUAAUUUCAUGUACCAAUCAUCAAGGUAUGGAUUAACUCGUUAGUUGUGGGUGUUCCCUUCAUGCUUAGUAUUAGAAGCCAAACAAGGGGGGGGGGGGGGGGGGAAGGAAUAUCGAACACGAUCUAAUGAGCGUAAGAAAGCUUGUUAUCUUGAACACCAAGUUAUUUCUGUAGGCAUUCUCUGUGCUGCUUCUAAAUUCUAUACUAGUUAUUGAAUGUUGAUUGAGUGAUAAGGAAUUGUCUAAACAUACAACCUGAAUUCAGAUAAAGAAUAUAACAUGGGGAUAUUUCAGAAUGAUAACCCAAAUGCAUGAGGAAGAGAAUUUCCUAAAACAUAACUAGCAUAAUGUAAAUGCAUGCAAGAGAUGCAUAAUGAUAACUGCAACUGUAGUUAAGGAACUAUCUGUAGGUUUUUGGGUGAAAUAAGGUAAGUUUUAGGAUCCCGGAUAUGAUAAAAAGAAAAGAGGUUCAGUCUCUCGGGUCAAACUUUCCUUGCCUUUCUCUUCUGUUUAACAUAUCUUUAUUUCUGUUUCUGACUCCUUUUCUGUUUGUCUGUCUGUCUGAUGGAGUAUUUCUGAAUCAUUCAUGACAUUGAAAGCAAUUGUUUAGUGGUAGAAUGGUAGUAAUAGAUAAAAUAAUUCUAACAACAACAACACAUCGGCAGUAGUAAUUUCUCAGCCAGUAUGGUAGUGGGGUGUUAUGGUAUACUUCAUGAGUAGUUUUAGUGACUCAAUGAGAAAUGCUUAAUGAAAUCAUGAUAAAGAUAUGUUUAGGCUAGAAUAGAAAUGCUGGCAAUCAGAAGAUAGCACGAAAUGAUUGGAACAACAAAUUUAUUGGGCCAUUUGCAAUCAGAAGAUAACACGGCUUCUGAAGUCUGAUUCGCACUAUAACAUGCAAUGCAUCCCCUUCCUCUCUAUGUAUGUCAUAGGGUCUUUCAUUUGAUUUUGUCAGUAACAUGCUUGAUGUUAUCAAAACCAGAAGCGCAGCGAAAAAGGAACACAUUCAUGCAUGAGACAAAGAAUUGCUUGAUGUUCCAGAAUAAUAGUAAGAACAAGAUACUAGAAUAGAUGUCAUUUGAGAAAGGAGUGAUGUGAAAAACUUAAGCAUAUAUAUCUCAUUCUGGAGUCCUAACGGAAAAAGCGAUCGUCAUCUAGAGUUCUUCAUUCAUGUAACUGCUGGUGUAACUAGUUCUAUUAGCAGAAAGCAGCACCAGAAAAUAGUAUCAUUUGUUGAGAUACCAGACUUCGUAAUACAUGCCUUUGUCACCCUUGUAGCAGAGUUCUAACAUCGUCUGUAUUUCUGCUGGUUUCCACUUUUCAAUGUUCCUCCUAUAUUUUCUUGUGCAAUAUAUUCAGACCCGUCUCCCACUGUUACAUUAUAUGAUUAAAUGAGGAAUCUACCAUGAUUAUAAGUUGAGCUAUAUGGUGUGACUGCUAUUCAGAUAGUGUUCCAGUCAAGUUCUCAUAAUAAUUUUGUGGUUAAAGAUGUUUUUUUUUGGUAAUUAAACAUUUAUUAAUCACCAAGGAAGAUCCGUACAAAGCCAUAGUUAGUUAAACUCGACUAUCUAAAAACAAGAAACUAUCAAUUCCUCUAUCUACCAUCCUAGGAAAUUUAAAACGAACAAGAUUGAAAAUAACUCCUAGUUCUAACAGGGGAUCUAGCACAACAUGUAUAAGCUAUCUCUUUUGCAAUGGUGACCCAAUCUUUUUACUCUUCUGUUCAAAGAUCCUUUGGUUCCUUUCUAUCCAUAUUUCUAUAUAUAGCAACUUGAAAAUCUGGGCAGUUGGUGAUUUUCCUUGGCAUUCUCAAUAGUCCACUGUUGAUAUUGCAUCCAUGCAGUUGGAAAAGUUGUAUUCUUCUUCCCCCAUAGCAGUACCUUGUCCCAUAUCUUCCUUGAGAGUCUACAUUGGACAAAGAGAUGUUCAUUUGUCUCAUUGUGUUCUUGGCAUUGGCUACACUUUAGUUCCACAUUGAGUCCCCAUUUUACUAGCCUAUCCGCAGUGAGUAAUCUUUCAUGCAAGUGAAGCCACAUGGUAAAAUGUGCUCUAGGUCUAGCAUCCCUUCUCCACGCUCUAGGUCUAGCAUCAUUGGAGAACAUUAGGCAUUUCCAUGGUAUUCUUGGUAGGUCUCCUAGGUAGUGUUGUCAAAAGCGCACUUAAGCCCUGGAGCGAGGCUCAAAAUAUGUUGAACGCUUCGCCUCGCUUUGUGAGCGCUUUAGUGUUGCAUCAAGGCUCUAUGGCAUACUUUCUCUUGCCAAUUAAUGUAAUCCUGAAAAGGCGAUAUUGAACAAUUGAUAUUUCGCUUUAUCGUAAUUCAAUUUCUUUGUCCAUAUUUUUGUUAUUCAUGUUUGUAAUUAUUAGUCUUAGACUACAUAUACAUAUUUUUACUUUUUCUCCAGUUGCGCCUUUUUUCAUUAAAAACCAUGCUUUAUUUGCGCUUUGCGUUUAAAGCACCAAUGGAUCUUAAGAGCUUUUUUGUGCUUUUCGCCUUUGAUAACACUGCUCCUAAGAGCUGCAAAUAAGUCUGCUUAAUCAAGCUUUUCCCUGGUGCAGGUUGGUCCAGUAGUUGCAUCAUGGUAGUUCUUGCAUCAAAGAUCCUCCUAACCAUCCAACAUGCACAUUGUGGCACCUUCACGAUAGCAAAUUGCUGCCCCUUGAUGUAAUAGCUAUGAAUCCAUCCAUAACCUGUCAGUUUUAUGUGCUAAGUCCCAACAGGUUUUCAAUACUGCUGCUCUAUUCCAUAGCCUUAAGUUCAUGAGGUUGAGUCCACCUGCAGAUUUAGGGGAGCAAACCAUUUCCCAUGCAACCAAAGCCUUCUUACUUAUUGUGUUGACUCCUGACCAAACAUAACUACGACAGUAUGCAUCUAUGAUACCCAAUUUCUUGGCAAGGAUCAUGAAGAGUUGAGGUCAAUAGGCUUGGAUGCCAAAUAUGACUGAUUUGACCAGUAUCCUCCCAGCAUAGGACAAUUUUCUAGUAGUCCAUGAGGAGAUUCUUUUUUUUUUUUUUGAGAAGGUAACAUAAUUGUAUAUUAAUAUAAGACUUCACUAAAAUUGUGAAGUCACCCAUAAUUACAAAGAAAGUGCCCUAGCAAAAAUAAAAGACACUUUAAAUCCUUGGUCUUCUUACAAGGAUUCUAGUACAUCUAAAAUGGAUUCAAGAUCCUCCAAAAACUUCCCUUUACGCCAAAAAUGUCCUAUGCUGGGAGAUUCUUUUAACUAUCUUUUGUACAAGAGGCUGCCAUUGUGUUGUGGUCAACUUCUUAAUUGACAAAGGUAUGCCCAUGUAUUUGAAUGGUAGAUUCCCAUAGGUGUAUCCCAGCCGCUGCAAUUUUUAAUCCUUUUCUUCCUGUAUCACUCCUCCACAAUAUAAUGAACUUUUGCCUAGGUUAGCUUGUAAGCCUGAGGCAGAGGAAAAUUGAUGAAAGCACUGUUGAAGGUGAUAUAUAGACCCCACAUCUCCAUGAGCAAAGAGUAAGAGGUCAUCUGCAAAGGACAGAUGUGUAAUCCCCAGCUUAGCACAUUUGGGGUGAAAUCUGAAGGCCUUCUUAUCUUUCAAAUUGUUCAAUUGUCUGCUAAGAUAUUCCAUUGCUAUGGCAAAAAAGGAAAGGGGACACUGGAUCCUCUUGUCUCAGGUCCCUUGCAGCAUCAAAUGGUUCAAUUGGCUCACCAUUGAUCAAGAUAGAGUAGUUGACUGUUCUAAGGCAUUCCAUAAUUCAUUCAAUGAAUUUCCUGAGAAAAGCUAAUUCCUCGAAAAGCUGUUCUAGAUAGCACCAUUCAACUAUGUCAUAAGCUUUUUGUAGAUCAAUCUUGAUCAGACACCUAGGAGACACAUGCUUCCUAGCGUAAGCCUGUACUAGCUCAUGAGCCAAGAUGAUGUUAUCUGCUAUUUUCCUUCCUAGUAUGAAGCCUGCUUGUGCUUCACAGAUAAUGUCAGGUAUCACCUUUUGUAAUUUUGAUGCUAAGAUUUUUUAGAUAAUUUUAUAUAGAACAGUGCAGCAUGCAAUUGGUCUAUAUUAUUUCACUGUGAGAGGAUUCUCAGACUUAGGGAUCAAUGUGAGUUUAGUGCAAUUACGAGCUCUGUAUAGCUUUCCUGUUGUAAAGAAUGCUAAAACAUCAAGGUUCACUUCUUCCUUGAUUAUAUGCUAGGUCUUUUUAAAAAAGAUCGUAUUUUACCC